rnacentral:rRNA from 1 species
GACGAACGCUGGCGGCGUGCUUAACACAUGCAAGUCGAACGGAAAGGCCCUGCUUUUGUGGGGUGCUCGAGUGGCGAACGGGUGAGUAACACGUGAGUAACCUGCCCUUGACUUUGGGAUAACUUCAGGAAACUGGGGCUAAUACCGGAUAGGAGCUCCUGCUGCAUGGUGGGGGUUGGAAAGUUUCGGCGGUUGGGGAUGGACUCGCGGCUUAUCAGCUUGUUGGUGGGGUAGUGGCUUACCAAGGCUUUGACGGGUAGCCGGCCUGAGAGGGUGACCGGCCACAUUGGGACUGAGAUACGGCCCAGACUCCUACGGGAGGCAGCAGUGGGGAUUAUUGCACAAUGGGCGGAAGCCUGAUGCAGCAACGCCGCGUGCGGGAUGACGGCCUUCGGGUUGUAAACCGUUUUCGCCUGUGACGAAGCGCGAGUGACGGUAAUGGGUAAAGAAGCACCGGCUAACUACGUG